rnacentral:rRNA from 1 species
AGAGUUUGAUCAUGGCUCAGGACGAACGCUGGCGGCGUGCCUAAUACAUGCAAGUAGAACGCUGAAGUCUGGUGCUUGCACCGGAUGGAUGAGUUGCGAACGGGUGAGUAACGCGUAGGUAACCUACCUCAUAGCGGGGGAUAACUAUUGGAAACGAUAGCUAAUACCGCAUAACAGUCUUUAACUCAUGUUAGAGGCUUGAAAGGGGCAAUUGCUUCACUAUGAGAUGGACCUGCGUUGUAUUAGCUAGUUGGUGAGGUAACGGCUCACCAAGGCGACGAUACAUAGCCGACCUGAGAGGGUGAUCGGCCACACUGGGACUGAGACACGGCCCAGACUCCUACGGGAGGCAGCAGUAGGGAAUCUUCGGCAAUGGGGGCAACCCUGACCGAGCAACGCCGCGUGAGUGAAGAAGGUUUUCGGAUCGUAAAGCUCUGUUGUAAGAGAAGAACGUGUGUGAGAGUGGAAAGUUCACACAGUGACGGUAUCUUACCAGAAAGGGACGGCUAACUACGUGCCAGCAGCCGCGGUAAUACGUAGGUCCCGAGCGUUGUCCGGAUUUAUUGGGCGUAAAGCGAGCGCAGGCGGUUUGAUAAGUCUGAAGUUAAAGGCUGUGGCUCAACCAUAGUACGCUUUGGAAACUGUCAAACUUGAGUGCAGAAGGGGAGAGUGGAAUUCCAUGUGUAGCGGUGAAAUGCGUAGAUAUAUGGAGGGACACCGGUGGCGAAAGCGGCUCUCUGGUCUGUAACUGACGCUGAGGCUCGAAAGCGUGGGUAGCGAACAGGAUUAGAUACCCUGGUAGUCCACGCCGUAAACGAUGAGUGCUAGGUGUUAGGCCCUUUCCGGGGCUUAGUGCCGCAGCU